ACUUUGAAGGACCUGCUAUGCUUUACAGACUCCUUCAGUCCUAUGACACAUUUUCCUUGUGCUUACAUGCUUCUGGUGUGAAGCAUGGCAACUGCUUUGCACUGCACAGGAGGACUCUGCCAAGGAAGACUAACGUCUGCAUUUGAUUGAACCUGCAGAGGGAAUUAAGGUAAAAGGAAUGUAAAUAUUAGAGUCUAGACAAGAUGCUGGCAGAAAACAUUUGUACUCUUGUGGCAUGUGCCAUGAAACAAUCAUUUGCAGCAAAGGAAAGGCUACACAGAAAAGCAGCGAAGGUAAGGUGUUUGCUAGGAGGACACAGGGAAUACAGAGGGAUCCAAAUGCUCAUGCAUGUUGACCACACACUUCUGCAUUGCUUGAAUACCCACAAUGCCUGCAGGUUGAGCAUCUGCACAGCCGCAAGUCAUGCUAUUCAAAUGAUCUCCGUGCUCAUCAGCCCCACACACCCCAGAUUUUCAGAGGAUCUGAGCAGGUUCCACUGGCUUCACAUUAUUAUUGUGGGGCUCCCACUCCAACCUACGCGCCAGACCCAGGAACAUCAAAGGCACUGCAGAAGUUCACACCAGAUGAAAGGCUGGUCCCACCCCUCUUGCCCACGGAUCACUGCUUUCCCACCUGGGUAAAAUGAUAUAGAUGUUCAGACUGCCUAUGAGAUACUAUUUGGAGAGUGCUGAAUGUGUUCUCCUGCAUAGAGCUCCAUGAAAUAUGGCAUCUCAUAUAUGUAUUUAUGAGUGCAGUCUCUUCAGGGCUUAGGCUUGAAACAUCAGUGAGAGAGCAAAUCACCCAAAGAACUGAAAGGAGAAGCACCCAAAGAAUCCUACUCCCUCUGCAUAGCUGAUGAGCUGGGAACUGAGACAUAGCCUGAUGGAGGGGAAAUGGACUUCCAGCACAGGUUCCUCUGGGAACACCGUGGCCAGGCAAGUGGAUGGGGAACAUAUGGGGAUGCCAAAUGGACCCAUUUCUGGAAUGGACAGCUGUGGCUGGAGAAUCUUUUCUCAUUUUUUAUUCUCAACAGUAUUCCAGAUGAGGUAGCAGACUUCUGACCUGUGACCCAUAUCCGCUAUUUUGGGGGCACAGUUAUCUUUUCUCAGGAAUGGAAGCCCCCAGUUAAUGAAAGCUGAACUUUUCAUCUCCAUCCCUGCUGAAGCCUUAUCAUACACAGGACUUUAAUCCUACCCAUCACUUCAGAAAUAUUAUUAAAGGUCUGCAUAUACAUUUUGAGAUAGAAUUGGCUUGUGAUAAUAUUGUUGUGUAAUUAUGGAAAUGAGAAAAUAAUCCCCUCAGGCUUUGCUGUAAUGACUUCUGAACAUCUUGCAUCAUCACGGGCAGACAGCAGGCUUCAGAAUGCCAUGCAUUAUUAAAAGGAAUGUGG
rnacentral:lncRNA from 1 species